GGCUGGUCCAAGUGGUGUUUACAAUUAAUUGAUCACAACCAGUUACAGAUUUUUUUGUUCCUUCUCCACUCCCUCUGCUUCACUUGACUAGCCUUAA
ensembl:Y_RNA Y_RNA Y RNA